GAGCAGAUGAGACGACACUGUUUCCUGUGUGGCAAAGCUAGAUAGAGGAUGUUAAUGUCACUGUAGGUCGCUAAGCAUCAACACUGGGAGUCAACUCACCUUCUCCGCACUGCCAAUCAGACGUAAGGGAGGGGUCAACAGACCUUUUACAGCAAUUUUUACUCUGCGCAUCAGCAUACCCGGAGACGACAUCUGAAGCAUCAGAUCAUCCCAUCAUCAACAAUUUAAUAUUCCAACACAGGCCAAUCAGACGUAAGGGAGGGGUGGAACACGCUUUAGAGCAAUUUUUACCCAGCAAGUCAACACAUCCGGAGAGGACGUCUGAGAGAAGCGUCAGAUCAUCCGAUCAUCAAAAACUGAAUAUUCCAACAAAGCUCAGGGACAGAAUGCGGUUCUUAUUGGUGCUGUUACUCCUGCUGCCUUCACCUCCCACAGCUGCAGGUAAGACUUCUCCAGAAUCACUCCAUCAUUAUCACAGUACAACAUUUAAUGUUAGCUUUGGAAAU
ensembl:lncRNA